rnacentral:sRNA from 1 species
CUCAACCGCAAGGAGGGGGAUGCCUAAGGCAGGGCUAGUGACUGGGGUGAAGUCGUAACAAGGUAGCCGUACCGGAAGGUGUGGCUGGAUCACCUCCUUAAAGGGAGACCUAAUUCAGGUAGGAGACGAAAAAAAAGUAGUCCCUACCAAGAAUCAAUCCCAAAAGGUCGGAGCGAGGCGAAAUUGGCUUUCAAACUAGGUUCUGGGUUCACACAAGACCUGAAUCAGGAACAAGGGCUAUUAGCUCAGGUGGUUAGAGCGCACCCCUGAUAAGGGUGAGGUCCCUGGUUCGAGUCCAGGAUGGCCCACCUGUACAGGUGGCAAAAACAAAGAAAAGAAGCUCCGAAUCAGCACCUUAUCUUAUUUAUAUAGUAAGAGAGAAUGCUGGCUCUGAGUAAAGAGUCCAGAGGAACCUUGAAAACUGCAUAGAGCUAGGUGAAAAAGCCAAAAAAGAAGACCGCAAGGUCAAGCUAAUAAGGGCUAACGGUG